rnacentral:rRNA from 1 species
CCUACGGGAGGCAGCAGUAGGGAAUCUUCCGCAAUGGACGAAAGUCUGACGGAGCAACGCCGCGUGAGUGAUAGAAGGUUUUCGGAUCGUAAAGCUCUGUUGUUAGGGAAGAACAAGUACCGUUCGAAUAGGGCGGUACAUUGACGGUACCUAACCAGAAAGCCACGGCUAACCUUA